GAAGUCUUCUUACCAUGACUACUGUCAACAUUCGUGUAUGGAGUAAUCUGUAUACGAAGGUUGUUAAAGACUGCGGAACCGCCCGAGGUCGGCAACGAAGCAGGGUAACGUGGCGCGGCUGUUGGUGGUGAGAUCGAGAUUUC
rnacentral:SRP_RNA from 1 species